CUACGGAGGGUGCAAGCGUUAUUCGGAAUCACUGGGCGUAAAGGACGCGUAGGCGGGUUGGCAAGUCAGAUGUGAAAUCCUACAGCUUAACUGUAGAACUGCAUUUGAAACUGCUAACCUAGAGUAUGGGAGGGGGAGAUGGAAUUAGUGGUGUAGGGGUAAAAUCCGUAGAUAUCACUAGGAAUACCGAAAGCGAAGGCGAUCUCCUGGAACAUAACUGACGCUAAGGCGUGAAAGUGUGGGGAGCAAACAGGAUUAGAAACCCCAGUAGUCC
rnacentral:rRNA from 1 species